UGAAACCGGUGAGGUGGAAACGGAUAGAGUCAGCGUAUCCGACUUGUAUUCAGCUGCGUGGUGUAACGGCCUCCGGUGCUGGCGUCUCCAGAUUGGGAACAGUGCUGGUCGGCCGAGAGCUGUGCUGUGCAUUUGCAAGUGGAGUGCGUCGAGAUCCAUGUGGUGGCGUCACAAACUUUGUUUUGAGGCCAGCUUGCUGGUACCCGAACUGGGCUAGUGAUGUUCACGCAUAUGUGUGUUUUGGGGGAAUGGUUAACGG
rnacentral:rRNA from 1 species